GAGGCUGAGCUGGAACCUGCAGCAAGGCUUUGACGGUACCAAAUUACAUAUAGAUCUGUCAAAAUGAUGUAAGACCUGAAAUUGCUCUGUAAGUUGAUCCUCUUUGACCCCAUGAUUUGGAGCUUCACAGUAUGGCACCACACCUGGAAACCUGCCGUGCAAGAUCUCAAACAGGCACAGGAAAUUCCUGGAACAGCAAUGCAUCCUAGUUGAAGACAUCCAGUUAUCCCUCAGUGCAACAGAAGCAUCACUGUUAAUUAACUGUUGAUAUGCUUGAAAGAGUUUGUUUGGCAGUGAUCUUGUGGAGAAAGCCGAACCAGGUGAUUUGAACUAUGGAACACAUGCGCUAGAGGUUUUAGAAGAGAGGACUUUUAGUAUGUUAUCUGAAGAUUCUUAGGAUGUUUUGACUCUUCUUAUGGGACUUAAUUCUGUAAAGUAUAAGUGAGAAGCAGGCCUGUCAUAAUGGAUAUACUUCUCCCUCAAUGCUCUGCAUGGCUCCUACAAAGAAACAAAUGGAUCUCAGACUGCAAAUCAAAAACUACUCAUCUCUCUGACACAUGCAAGCAAGCCAGUGAGAUCCUGCCUCAAAUGACAUGUCUUUGGCUUUGUUGUUGUUGUUGUUGUUAGGUUAACUACUUUGAUAGGUGCAAAUUUUGGACAACUUUUGAGCAACACUAUUUUCUCUUAUCUUGACAUAUUCAAUCAUACAUUUUCUAACAUUUUCCUUUUUAUAUUUAGGUUGAUUUUAAAAAAAAAAAACUAUUAAAUUAAAUUUACUUUUAGUGAGUGAAUAUUUAAUCCACUACCCUUGCAUUGCUAAGAAAAAAGAAAGAAGAAGAGAUGAAAUAAUGGUCUCAUUCAAGUAUGCUCAAGAAAAUGUUACUUAAUUAAAUUUAAAAAGAAGAGUCCUUAAACUUAGAAACAAAUCCUAGAAAGGGGGAGUCCCUAAUACUAUAAGGAAAAAGUUUACAUAACACUAUAUUAUCAAAGAAGAAACAGGUGUGAAGACUCUUUGUGUAUACAAAGAGCCUAUUAGCCAGUAAAAUAUAAAGCUAGUUGUGUCUCAGUUUCAGUAAAAAAAAACAAAGUUAAGGUUGAUUGUAUAUUCAACUAAAAUAGCAACAAACAUUCAAAUGGAGGUUGUGUUCCUGAUAACAAGAAUGUAGAACAAAUACUUUAGUUUAUAUUGUAUUUAUUAAAAAAAAUAAAUGGUUUAAACCUACAAUUUAUAAAUGUUUAAUUUAAUAAUUAAAGGUGUAUUAAUGUAGUCAGAAAAAUGAACAGGUAUUUAAAAUUUACAUAUUUAUAUAUCUAUACUUAUAUUAAAUCAUAUAAAGUAAACACAGAUUAGAUAAAUUAUAUUGCAUGUCAUCUUAGAAACUAGUACUAUUACUAAGAAUUAUGUUCCAAUAUAAUAAAUGAUACCAUAAAUAGCUGUUGUAGGGGCUAAAGAAGUGUUAAUACAUAAUAUGCUUAAGGAGAUGGAUACAAUCCUCAGGAUCACAAAACAUUAAAAAAGAGAGAGAGAGAGAGAGAAGUCAUGAGUUAGUGCUAAGAAAAAACAGAUUCUAGGCAUAUUAGGAAGAUGUACUAAACACAUAAUGCAAGUAUUUGUGUACACACAAACACACACACACACAAACACACACACUCACACACACACAUACUCAAACACAUAUUAUACUUCAUAUAUAACAUUUACUCAAAGUAAAAAGCAUUCUGAGUUUGUUACUCCCAUCCCUGGCAUGUGGCAUCACAGGAUAUUUGUAUAUCAUGUCCUAAAGUCUUCCACAAUAAGCUUUAGAUAUUUUUGUAAUGAAUACAUAGAUUUUAUUAUCAGGGAAAUGCUAAUCUUACCUCCAAUGAUACCUCUGGAGUAGGAAAACAGUCUUAGUUUGAGUAGAUAAACAUAUCUCCCCUUAAAGAACUCUGCCAUAUUUAUACAUUAUCAUGUAGGUUUUAUGAACUAGCAGUUAGUUUAAGUGUAGUUAAAAACAAAUACUUAUCAAUCCAAAUAGUACCAGUUACUCUGAACAAUAUUCUUAGGCUAUCUCUAGUUUUGAAUCAACCUGCACCAACAAUCAAAUCUCUCAAAUGUGAAAGAUUCAAUUGUCCGGCUGUGCAGUCAGGUGAAGCAUAUGGAGUCUAUUACAGCCAAGACCUAGAGGUUGCACGUGCUGCUUCGUGGUGUCUGGAGUAUAAACCAAGGUGUUGUCUUGGACAAAUUUAGUCCUUCAUGUUUUGAAUUAUGGUAAAUUUGAAACCACUUCUUCUCCCAUAUGUGAAAAUAGAGAUUGGGUAAGCAACCUCCCCCCUCCAUUUUGUAAAGGUAGGGCUUAAUCUUUAGUGGGGGGGUCAAAGCAGUAGAAGGUGUUGUUGUACUAAGUUAUGACAAGGAGAAAUUCAGUCUCGUAUGACACCCUCCAUUGUCUAUGAGGUAGGAGCUGCAGUGUGGUUAAAGUACAGAUGUAAAGAGUUCAAAACUCAGAUUAUUUCAUAAAAUCUCAGACAAAACUCAGUGCUACAUUUUUUUUUAUCAAAUUACUGAUACGUGAGCAAUGCAUUAGACUAAAAUAACAAUGCAAAAAUAAGAACAUUCAACUUGCUGAAGUAUAACAGAAGAAACAUUCUCUUAAAAAGUUGAAAAACUUGUUGGCAUAUGCAAUAGUGUCUGGAUUUGGUGGCUGAUUAUGGGAUGGAUCCCCAGAUGCGGUAGUCUCUGGAUGGUCCAUCCUUUCCUCUUAGCUCCAAACUUUGUCUUUGUAACUCCUUCCAUGGGUAUUUUAUUCCCUAUUCUAAGGAGGAAUGAAGUAUCCACACGUUGGUCUUCCUUCUUCUUGAUUUUCUUGUGUUUUGCAAAUUGUAUCUUGGGUAUUCUAAGUUUCUGAGCUAAUACCCACUUAUCAGUGAGUGCAUAUCAAGUGACUUCUUUUGUGAUUGGGUUACCUCACUCGGGAUGAUAUCCUCCAGAUACAUCCAUUUGCCCAAGAAUUUCAUAAAUUCAUUCCUUUUAAUAGCUAAGUAGUACUCCAUUGUGUAAAUGUACCACAUUUUUUUAUCCAUUCCUCUGUUGAGGGACAUCUGCGUUCUUCCCAGCUUCUGUCUAUUAUAAAUAGUGCUGCUAUGAACAUAGUGGAGCAUGUAUCCUUAUUAUCAGUUGGACCUUCUUCUGGGUAUAUGUCCAGGAGAGGUAUUGUGGAUCUUCCAGUAGUACUAUGUCAAAUUUUCUGGGGAACUGCCAGACUGACUUCCAGAGUGGUUGUACAAGCUUGCAAUCCCACCAGCAAUGGAGGAGUGUUCCUCUUUCUCUAUAUCCUCACCAGCAUCUGCUGUCACCUAAAUUUUUUUUAUCUUAGCCAUUCUGAUUGGUGUGAGAUGGAAUCUCAAGUUUGUUUUGAUUUGCGUUUCCCUGAUGGUUAAGGAUGUUGAACAUUUUUUCAGGUGCUUCUCAUAUCUUCAGUACUUCUCAGUUGAGAAUUCUUUGUUUAGCUCUGUACCCCAUUUUUAAUGGGGUUAUUUGAAUUUCUGGAGUCCAGCUUCUUGAGCUCUUUGCAUAUAUUGGAUAUGAGUCCCCUAUCAGAUUUCGGAUUGGUAAAAAUCCUUUCCCAACCUGUUGGUGGCCUUUUUUUCUUGGAAUCUGAUGUAGCUUUCUCUUGUGAGGCUAUGCCAGUGCCCGGCAAACACAUAAGUGGAUGCUCACAGUGAUCUAUUGGAUGGAUCACAGGGCCCCCAAUGGUGAAGCUAGAGAAAGCACCCAAGGAGCUGAAGGGGUCUGCAACCCUAUAGGUGGAACAACAAUAUGAACUAACCAGUACCCCCAGAGCUCGUGUCUCUAGCUGCAUAUGUAGCAGAAGAUAGCCUAGUUAGCCAUCAUUGGGAAGAGAAGUCCCUAGGUCUUGCAAACUUUAUAUGCCCCAGUACAGGGGAACGCCAGGGCCAAGAAGUGGGAGUGGGUGGGUAGGGGAGGAUAUAGAGAACUUUUGGGCUAACAUUUGAAAUGUAAAUAAAGAAAAUAUCUAAUAAAAAAGAAAAAAUAAAUAAAAAUAAAAAGUUGAAAAUGUAAUAAAAUACGAUUUAGCAUUGAUGUAGCAAA
rnacentral:lncRNA from 1 species